GGGCCGCUAUCUCAAAGGCCAGAGCGACCUCCUCAUAAGAGGUAUCAUCCCGGUUCGACUCCGGGGCGGCCCA
rnacentral:tRNA from 1 species